rnacentral:lncRNA from 1 species
UUUUAUUUUGUUUUAUUUUUACUACAUAGUAGAUUUCUACUAUACCUAAGUCAGUACAUUCUCCUGCCUCGCCUGACAUAGCAUUUGCAAAAUAUGUUUGGUGACAAACUCAAAAUAUGGGCUCAGAUUGAAGCCGUCCCUCCUUACUGCACCUAGAAGAAACUUGGGCAGCAGUCUACAUUCCAAGAAAAAAAAAAAAUCUGACCUUUUCUUGCUAUAGAUAAUUCUGUGUGACAUUGAAAAUCUGCCAUAAAGGCUCCCGUUUUUUUUUACAGCGAGCAUGUCUUUCUGUGGUAACCACAAUACUGACAUCAAUAAAAGGUGGUUUGGUUUUUUUUAAUCCUGAAAGGAAGCCAGAGAGACCCUCUAAAAAAGAUACUGUGUCCAAGUUUUCUCUGCCCCAGGAAUGUCUGUUUUUAAUUGCCUGGAUUUGCUGUAGAUUGGCCCCAAAUUAGCCACCAUCCAGAGGGCCGUUUCCCAGCAACCAAAGCUCCAUGCAUUUUGCCUCUGGAUACUAUACUAGUGCCCAUUUCAUCCAGUUAAUUAGGCUCUUUGUCAUUAGCCUUAAUCGGCUUGUUAGGGCCCCUGCUGAUAAUAGCCCAAUAGCCAGGAAUCCCCAGGUGGAACAAGUAAGUCUGGGGGAAUGUCAGCCCACUAACCUCAUUUGCCAGCCUGGAGGGUGGCAGAGAUCUUACAGAGAGAGGCAGAGCUUUGAGAAACCAAGCAAGGAGUUCCAACAGGGCCAGGCAGCCUCAUAAGAGGCCACACAUCAGAAGAACAAUGUGUGUCCCAUCGCCUGCGCUGAUACAGGAUCUGCCUCAAGUGACUUGUAGAGACACAGAGCAUCUAUUGAGCACCUAUUUAUGACCAAACAGUGUUGGUCACAGUGAACUGGCCACCUGUGCCCAAGGGUAAGGAAACUAAGAAUUGGACUUCCGUGCUGUCCCGGAAGGAAGAACUGUCAGGGCACAUGCACAGCAGAAGAUCUCCUGGCUAAAAUCAACCUUGGUCACAGCCUAGUGAAGCCAUCUGGGGAGAGUGCUCAGAUGUCAUUUAUCUAUACCAGGAACUCAGUCUAAGACCCAAGGAUGGAGCUUCAAUCCCAGUGAGCAGUCCCUGGUCUCUGGAGGCCAUGUGUUGUGUGCCAUGCCCUAUUGGAUGCAUGCACACGUGAGUACAAGCACUAUCCUUUUCAUACUUACUAGGACUGUACAAGUGCCAUCCUCUUUCUGUCACUAGCCUCAAAGUAGGAGUGACACAGAGAAGAAAGGGAGCCACCAUCCCACUGUUUUCCUGGACAACUGAAGACCUGAGACAGAAAACCUCAUUACAGAGCAACAACCUCAAGGCACACCCCCAAGAGGUCUUUUUUUUCCCCCCUCCUCCUUCAAGUAUGGGGACUCCUGCCUAGCAGACGGCCCAGCAAGCCUUGUGGACACUUGAAGUAAUGGAUGUCUCAAAAGUAAGCAGAGCUGGGAACUCAGCCCUGCUCUUUGCACCAGCACUGAUAGUGAGCCCAGUGAGGGGCAGUAGUUAAGUAUGGCCUCCAUAGAGAUGCUGAUGGCUUGAGAAGGCUGAGUAACCCUGCCAACGUCUCCAGGCAGAGUGGCAAUAACUCUGAUAAAUGUACAAUCUAAAGUCAAAGAGACUGUUCAUUGAUCGGCUUGGGGGUGAGCAUUAUCAGCGUCUCCUGAUGCUCCAUCUGAGGGAAUAUAUUAUAUCCAAGGGCCACCCAUCCUUGAAUUGCAGGGGGCAGCACAAUGUCCCCCUUCCCAUACGAGCUGCUGUGACAGAGCUUCCGGCGCUGGCUUUCCGACCCCGCUACCUCGUCACUAUUUUGAUGGACACCUGAAAGCAGCUGGGACUGUUCUUUAAUCACCCAGCUUAAAUUGCUGGCUGCUUGAUCUCGGCCUUCGUUCUCUUUGGCCCUCUCCAGCAGCGGAGAGGAGCUGGCAACUCUCUUCCCCCAAGGCCCAGAAUGUUGGUCAAAUCUGAGGAAUAUUAUGAGAUGGCUACGAAGGCACAGAUGUUACCUAUCCUCCCACCCUCCGUGCACACACAGUUGCUGUGGUUUGCACAGACCAUGAAUUGAGGGGUUCCAGAUCUCAAGCUACUUCCUCUGCUGAGAUUGUGCCUAUAAAUUAGAGGAUGCUUCUGUGCAACAUUGUCUUCAAAACUGUAAGGGUGUAACCUUGCAAAGCCGUGGAAAUAAGUGAUCUUAAAGUCAGCCAGACUAUGGUCUAUACAGAGUCUACAGCCUGAGCUUUUGGCUGGAAGACCUACCAAGGAUUUAUGGGCAAAGGGCGUUUAUUUCAGACACCUGCAUUUACAUCACUGAGCCACGUACUCCCUCGGCAAUCCAGGAUGCCUGCCCACCCAGAGAGGCUUCUCUUGAUUCACAGAUUUUUAUUUUUCAUAUGCUUGAAUGGAAAAUGCUGUUCAGAUUGCCUGUGCUUAUGUCCUGUCAAUUGGCCAGAGUACAAUGGAAAACUUGGACCUUCCCCUAGCUGGGAGUAAAGAUGCUGUGGGCAUCGGGAAUGGUGGCGCACACCUAUGGACCCAGGACCUUGGAGGCAGGAGCAAAUAGGUGUCUGUGAGUAAGAGGCCAGCCAGGGCUACACCAUAAGACAAACUAAGGAAAGCCACAGCUUAAAGAGAUCUGAGAAGGGAGAUGGACUGUCACUGGCAAGCCACGUGCCAUCCAGGAAUCAGAGAUGUU